GCCGACAGGAGUCCGGGCCGCCCCAGAUUUUGAUCUCUUAUUUUUUCUUUCGUUUUCGUGAGCUGGUGGAGGAGCUCCGAAGUUUUGAGUGCGUUCCAUCGCCUAUUUUUGUGGCUGCAGGGAUUUCUUUUUGUUUUGUUGAGUUACUCCUACAAUACGGAGGUGCGGCGUAAGCGGAGCUUCAACGCGGGUUGAUGUGAGCAGAAUUGUUGUUGGCGCAAUUUUGUCCAGAGCGACUAGGCGGUGGAUUCUCUAGUUCUUGAUGUAGCUGCGGCGUCCAGUGCAGAAGGCGGUGUGGUGCCCUUGCGUGUUGGCUCAAUUCUUAUUGACACUGCGUAAGACGUGAAUAUUCAAGCUCGAUCAAGUGAGUUGCGCGAGACAAAUCAUCUCCAGAUGUGGUGAUAGAGGAUUCCGUGUAGAUCGGAUUCGCAAUAAUCCUGUUCGGUGUACGUCUAAUCGUCUUGCCAGUUUGCUUCUAAACUGGAGGAGCUAAAGCUGGAAGCUAUUGGAGUUCAGUAGCGAUGGAAUCACUGCCUGGAAUUGAUUUGAUUUGAAUAUUUCAAAAAAAAAAAAAAAAAAAAAAAAGCAGUUGAUAAGGUUCAUUAGUUGAGAUCAAUACUCGAUGAGUUGAUUGUUGAAGAAUAAGUGCCGUUGGUUCUGCCUUUGUGGGGUAGAUAUGUUGCAAUGAGGUCAGUCAUUGUGUAAGGAACAUUAGUGAGCGAAGGAGGGUUGUCACCCCUGGUCAUGAGAUGAUGUGGCUCGUUUGAGCAGUGACAUGAACAUUAAGUGCAAAUUGUAAUGGUUGUAGUAAACGUUGUUUUAAGGUCUGUUCUUGCAUCUUUGCCGGCAAUAUUGGAAGUGAUAAAUUUGGAUGGAUUUCCGGAGUUUUGAUACUCGAGGCCAAGUUGUGGCGGUAGCUCCAAAAGCAGUUUUAUGGAUUUUUGGAAUUUUUGAUCCGACACACUCGUUUGGUGAAACUCGUUGGAGGGUUGGACGUGAAGGAUAUUCAAAGCAAUCACUGUUUUUAAGACUUGAUUCAAAGGCCAACUUUCUCAGAGGGUACCUUGAUCUCUUUUAUCCAUCCCGCGGCGAGGAAUCCAGCUUCCGGCAGUCUGAGCUCUGUUGUUUCCAACUCAUGGCAAGAGAGAUGUAGGUGGCGGUUUGUUUGUUCUUCCAUCAGCUAGGUGAACAGGCAAAAAGGUGUAGCUCGGCUGGAGCAAAUCGAACCAACAGGAGAGGCAACGGUUUUACUUAUGCCAGUAGCUUCAAAGGUGGCUUUUGUUUAGAGUGCAAAAGGCAGUUUUUAUCUACUCUACAUGGUGUGAGUGCAUAUUUUGAUUAGAAUUUGAUUACUAAAAAUAUUUCACUUGUUGUUUGGACUUAAUCUAGUGAAUAAAUUUGUGGUUAAGAUA